rnacentral:rRNA from 1 species
CUACCAAGGCGACGAUCUAUAGCUGGUCUGAGAGGAUGAUCAGCCACACUGGAACUGAGACACGGUCCAGACUCCUACGGGAGGCAGCAGUGGGGAAUAUUGCACAAUGGGCGCAAGCCUGAUGCAGCCAUGCCGCGUGUGUGAAGAAGGCCUUCGGGUUGUAAAGCACUUUCAGUCAGGAGGAAAGGUUAACGGUUAAUACCCGUUAGCUGUGACGUUACUGACAGAAGAAGCACCGGCUAACUCCGUGCCAGCAGCCGCGGUAAUACGGAGGGUGCGAGCGUUAAUCGGAAUUACUGGGCGUAAAGCGUACGCAGGCGGUUUGUUAAGCGAGAUGUGAAAGCCCCGGGCUCAACCUGGGAACUGCAUUUCGAACUGGCAAACUAGAGUGUGAUAGAGGGUGGUAGAAUUUCAGGUGUAGCGGUGAAAUGCGUAGAGAUCUGAAGGAAUACCGAUGGCGAAGGCAGCCACCUGGGUCAACACUGACGCUCAUGUACGAAAGCGUGGGGAGCAAACGGGAUUAGAUACCCCGGUAGUCCACGCCGUAAACGAUGUCUACUAGAAGCUCGGAGCCUCGGUUCUGUUUUUCAAAGCUAACGCAUUAAGUAGACCGCCUGGGGAGUACGGCCGCAAGGUUAAAACUCAAAUGAAUUGACGGGGGCCCGCACAAGCGGUGGAGCAUGUGGUUUAAUUCGAUGCAACGCGAAGAACCUUACCUACACUUGACAUACAGAGAACUUACCAGAGAUGGUUUGGUGCCUUCGGGAAC